GGCGGUGGCGCCCACGGGGGACACGUGUGCCUUAGUCCGGAGAGUCGGAUGCGCGAGGAGGACCCUUGCGGCCGCGAGAGCGAGCAGAGCCUGGGCGGGGCGCGCUCCACUCCGCCCAGCGGCCUCCAGGGCCCGCGAACCCUCCCGGGGUCCCGACCUCGCUUCUGCCCCGCGCCCGCCUGGCUCCUCCGAGGGUCCCGGGAUCGCCGCCGUCACGCGGACACCACCACCGGGGGAGCAAGGAGCCCCGCGUGGGCCGGGGCCAAACAGGACUCCCUCUGCCGCCGGGCGCUCGGGCGGCGGCAGGCGGACGCCCAGGCAGACGCAGGACCCCCGGGGGCGCCGUUGCGGGGAUCGAGGGGGCGGACCUUCCGCGCCGCGGAGCUGGCUGGACGGCCUCCGAAGGCUGUUAGUCCACGGCUGUGCUGGACCAGGCGGCGCCGAGGGCAAGCUGCCGGGGACAGGGGGCGUGGGCACAAGCAGGAAGCCGGGAGGACGGACCGGCCCUGGCGACGUCCUGCAGAAGAAGUUGGCACCGUCCAUCGCAGGACCGCACACCUGCCUCCCACCAGCGAGGUGCCUCCACACAGCCUUUUGGGGCUCUGCAGCGCUGAUGUGUGUUACACUGGGGGCUCGGGGCUCUCGUGCAGCCACCCCCUGAGAAGUGCAGAAGUGUCCAAGUCCAUCCUCUGGGGGAUCCUCAGAAGGCAGUGAGGCCGCAGAGGGAAGACGACCUUGGUUUUCAUGGGUGCCACCCACCACUGAGAGUGCAUGAGGCGUGGGCAGCGGGACUGCCUCAGGAAGGCAGGAGGACCACGCGGGAAUGCUGGUUCUCUGGCGUCUCGGGAGGAGCGUGGGAUGACUCCUCAGUGAAUGCUCCAGCUGUCGUGUGGUUCCACGCUCAUAGCAUGCGGCCACGUGUCCGGGAUUUCUGAUAAGCGGAGCCCAUGCUGCCACUGGAGAGAAAUCAGCCCUGUAACACGACGCGGCCCUUAUGGAACGGACGGUGCGCAGAGGGCGGGCGUCUCCGGGGCACAAAAGGGAGCCUAACACAGGAAGCGCUUUGCUUUCAGCCUCAGACGGAAGGCUCUCGCUCGCACGGACUCACCUGUGACCUGAGCACUUCCAGGCCGUGUCUGCUGGGCUUUCGUCGCCUUGGCAUUCAUGCCCAACGGGGUGAAAACGGUUUGCCUUAACUCUGUUUCCGUCGUAUCUGUUUCCCGUGGCUGCCGUAGAAAUCCGUCAGAGCCUUGGUGGCCUGCGACAGACGCGUCUCUCCUACAGCUCGGGAGCUCACAAGUCUGGCUGGCUUUCCCUGGGUGACAUGAGGUGUCUACAGGACUCCUUCCUGCUGGGGCUCUGGGCGAGGAUCUGUUUCCUUGUCUUCUCCAGCUUCUCGAGGCACCUGCGUCCCUUGGCUCACGGCCCCUGCCUCGUGUCCUCACUCCAUUGUCACACCUCCAUCUCCGACUCUGACCCUCCCGCUCCCUCUCCCGCGGAGCCUGUGAUGCCGUUGGCCCAUCAGAUAAUUCAGGAUCAUCUCCCCCUCAGCAUCUGCCACUCAUCAUGUGUAUGACGUCCCUUUGGUCCUGUAUGUACCAUACUCACAGGUUUUGGGGGUAAGGUUGUGGACGUUUUGGGGCCACCAUGCCGUCCCCACAGUGAGCAUAUCUCCUGGAAAGGAACUGUCUUCACUGGAGAAAAUGUGGCGACGAGCUGAUGUGGAGGCUCACAGCCUGUGGCCGUGGGUACUGGCCUGUGACGGCAGCGAGCGUGAGGCCCGGGCCGGCCAGCGACGGCUCCGCUCAGUCCGCACGGUCCAAAGAAGCCGGGGAUGGAAACCAAGAAGUCAGGGGCAGGCGCUGCGGCACCAGUCAUGACACCAGGCCCGUCUGCAGACCCGGGCCCAGCGGUGGACCCACAGCGCGCUCUGAGGAAGAGGGCUGCCCCAGCCCAGCACCGGCGGUGACCCCCGCUGCUCCCCCCGGUGCCGUGACCACGGGCGCUGGGACGUUUCAAGAACUGGGGAACGUGGGCUGGGUCCAUAUUCCUACCUAAGGGGGGAGGCUGAGGUGUCACCAUGGCAGCCGUUUGAGUGCCGCACGUAGAGGUGAGGUAAGAGAGAUGUCCUGGCCCAGCUGUGUGUGGUGGGCACGCGGGGUCCACAGCCCACCCCCAAGGCCGUUCUCCCAGCCCCCGGACCGAUCGCUAGAACAGAUGUACGGCGGCCAGCCUCUCCUCGGUACUAA